GGGUUCAAGUUUUGGGGAUUUGGUGUACUACACAGCUGAGCUGAGACAUUUGCGUCAUAGACCUGAUGACCCCAUGGGCAUGUGGUGAAACUGAAGUCCAGGAAGAAGCAAAUUGCCCAAGCUUUACAAGCAUCAUAGUGGUGUCACUGGAGAGAGCCCUAAGCCCCAAUCUAGUGUCCUUUCCACAAAGCCUCAGUCUCCUCAAGGCUAUACAGGAAUGGAUAGGAUAUUCUAACACAGAAGACCAAUCUGUAUCUUGUAUUACAACAAUUGCAUUGAUUUUGGACAUUACUGCUAACCACAUGUCUCAAUAAAAUGUCUUACUCUGGCAUAA